GUGAUUCAAAUUUAAUUUAAAUCCACACAUGUUCUGUGGUUAGGCUGUCAGGUGCACUGUGAGCUGCUAAUGGCUGCUGAGAUCAGCUGCACUGCUAUGAGGUGGCACGCUGCAGGUCUCUUUUCUGGUUCUCACUAUGUUGCCUGGACCGCAUGUGCCUGUUGCCUGACCCUUGGGCGGGUAGGCUCGACUUGCUGUCCUGUACUGGAUGUCCUAUGAGAUGUGUAUAGAAGGUGGUGCAGAUCCCCUUAUACUGUGGGUUUGCUGGGGCGAUCCUCAUGUGCGUUGUGAUGCUGCUGUGACCUCUGACUGUGGCCUCCCACCAUGACACUGUGGCAUCGCUGUCACUCCUUGGUGGCAGUGCCAAGGACCACAACAUCAUGUAGAAGGGCUUUUUUGGAUCUUGGGGACAAGGGGAGGAGGAGGACGUGGUGACCUGCAUAAGCUUGUGCUGCUCGGAUGCUGAUCUUGUGCCCUAAACUGUGUCAGAUGUGCUACAUAUGGCUAAACUGGGUUUGGUAUAAACAGCUGACAGGGCAGUAAAGAACACUAUAUAGCUUAAGAAUCAGACAUCAGUUUUGUCCCACCACUUGUGCCGCCCCAGAUCCUUUGUGUGUUGCUGCAUUCGCCACACAUAAAUGCACACUCCUGCUUGUGGGAUAACGUCUUUACCAUGCAGCAACAGUGGAGUAAGGAGAAGUUGACCUGAUUUGAGAAGAAUUGAGAGUGGUUGUGAACUUGAAGGUGGGGCUGGCUUUAUGCAAGUCAUGCAAAUCUAGACUAGUCUAAAAUCUGAUGACGGAUUGCUCUUUCAAAGCCUUAUUCAAGUGGGUGCAUUUAUGACCAUUUAAUAAUAUGGAAUCUUAUUCAUAAUCUCCCAUGCUGCCUACCCAUUCAUGCACUGAAUCACAAAGUAAUGUAACUUAUUUUCUGAAGGAAGGGACUUCCUGUGAAAAUGGAGCUAGAGGCAAAUAAAUA